CAGCUGUGAGGAGGAGAGGCUUUCCCUGUGAGGUCUGCUGGCUCCCACUGUUGCUUUUCUUUAAUUCCCCUGGGAUUCCUGGGGGUGGUGGGAAGGUGGCUCUUUCUCUUUGUGCCACUGAACUGAAUUAAGCAGCUGUCCUUAAGACCUGCUCCAGCAGGACAGCACAAAGAGGGGCUGAAGUCUGGCCUAAACCUGGAUUUUGCUAUGCAUUUCUGAGGCUCAGGUUUUGUCCUCUUGCAUCUGUGCAUGCUGACCUCUCUCGUUGCCUUUGAAGCACUUAAGAUCACAUCCAAGAGCUGCAUUCCAGCUGUGGCGCCUUCUGAGCACAAAUCUUUAUGCUGACUUCUCUUGUAUCCUUUCAUUCCCGGAGGGAGCUCGAGUUCGUUCACAUGUUGCUGGACAAGAGACAAAGAAGAUCUGUUCAGCACAUGCAGAACAGAUGCUCAGGGAAGGAGGGGGAAUUUUCCAGUGCAGUUUCUGCAAUAUCCAUUGCUGCUGUCUUGCUCCCUGUGUAAGCACUGCUGGCCUCUCCAGAGCUGGUCUUGGGGAUUUUCCCAUCUUGGAGACAGCCCACCCAAGUCAGCUGCUCCUGAAGACAAUUGCCUAUCAAAAAUACUCUCAAAGAGAGUCACCUGCUCCCAUACUUCCUUUUCAAGAAGAGAGAAUAAAAUAGAUGGAACCACUGAAUACUUGUUUCUCAAAGGUGUGGCUUAAAGUAAGCAAGAUACAGGGUGAGGAGAGAACACAGAGUGCUGCUGAUGCUCACUCAGAGCAGUGGUGCUCAACUUUGGCUUCCCUUUUUUAUGUUCUGGGGUUGAACAAGCUAUGGACUUGUUCCAGCAGGAGGUGAGGAGGUGUUAUGACUCCUGUGCUCAUCUGAGGCAUGCAGGCACAUGACACAGAAGGCACACAGUGUGGGUGGAUGAAGCUAGAGCUAUGGCUAUUUAAGAGUACAUUAACUUCUUCAGCAAGGACUUGAUCCUGUGAGGCAGGGAAAGGCACUGUUAUUGAUGGGAAAAGAGAUGAAAGGCAAAUGGUCUUUGCAAUUUUCUAGCACCUUUUG